GGAUCUGUAGCUCAGCUGGUUAGAGCGUUCGAUUCACAUUCGAAAGGUCGGUGGUUCAAGUCCACCCAGAUCCA
rnacentral:tRNA from 1 species